CAUAGCGACUAUCGUGGCAUAUCAAUAAGCGGAGGAAAAGAAACUAACAAGGAUUCCCCUAGUAACGGCGAGUGAAGCGGGAAGAGCUCAAAUUUGAAAUCUUAAAGGGUUUCCCUUUACGAAUUGUAGUUUAAAGAAGUGUUUUCUGUUGGAGUUUCGGUAAAAGUUCUUUGGAAUAGGACAUCAUAGAGGGUGAGAAUCCCGUAUUUGACCGUUACCUUCCAGCUGUGUGAUACACUUUCAAAGAGUCGGAUUGUUUGGGAAUGCAGUCCAAGAUGGGUGGUAAAUUUCAUCUAAAGCUAAAUAUUGGCGAGAGACCGAUAGCGAACAAGUACCGUGAGGGAAAGAUGAAAAGAACUUUGAAAAGAGAGUUAAACAGUACGUGAAAUUGUCAAAAGGGAAGCGUUUGACACCAGUGUUGUUUUCUCGAAAAUCAAUUAAAAAUGAUGGGAUUUUGUGUUGUAUUGACUUUAUCAGCUUUCUGCACUUUUUUCUUAUCUUUUUUAAUGCACUUUUCGUUUAACAAGUCAACAUCAAUUUCUUUUGUUGUAAAAGAGUCAUUGGAAGGUGGCUUUUUCUUCGGAAAAAGUGUUUAUAGCCUUUGGCUUCUGCAAUCGGAGAGAUUGAGGUCUGCAGCGUAGAUCCUUCGGGGUUAGAUACAUUUGUGCUAAGUUAUAGUCUUUCAUAGACAACUUGUUGACUAUAAUUAAUCCUUGUAACUUACUCGCUUAUGACUAUUUUACCUACGCUUAGGAUGUUGAUAUGCAUGACUGAUAU
rnacentral:rRNA from 1 species